rnacentral:lncRNA from 7 species
AAUGCAGACUGAGAGCACACAACUGCUCUGCUGUGGGACUGACUGAAUGACCUGGGGUUUGAUGAAUUGUGAUUUAAUUCAACAGCUCCUGACAAGGUCAGAGGCAGCAUCCUCUGCAGCCACAGAGAGGAAUGCCAUUGCUGUCCCUGUCCCUGCACCAAGAGGAUUAGCAGAUGGAGACAACUCCUAUGCACUUUUAACUGGCAAAGGUGAAGAAAUAUCUGGCACACGAGGAUUCCACAGCCACCCUCAUCGAUCCCCUGCCACCACUUAAUUGAAUUAUAACACCAUAAAUAAUCUGGAGGGUAUCUCAGAGGUACCCCAUAAAAUUUUCAGGGAUGCUGCCUGGCAGGUGACCUAUUUGGAGAGGUGCAGACAGGUUUCUUGGGAUUUUCUUCAAACUCAUUAUCUCAGUAUUUCCUGAUGUGUCUUUACUGCAAAAGCAUUAACCAUUAAAAAAAAAACCAAAAAGUACUAUUUAAUUUCUGCACAGCUGGUCCCAAACCAAAUUCCCAAUGAGGAGAGGUAUUGAUCAGAUAAACUUCAGGAACUGAAAGCUCCAAGACAGCAAAGCCUUUUCAAAUGUGGAUCUGAAUUUUGCAGCUGAAGACCAUCUCCUGACAGUGAAUGGAUUAAGGAGAUUGUUCAGGGAGCCAAAUGAAGAAGGCACUUAUUGCCAAGUACCUUCUGGCAUCCACAGACAUAAUCUCCUGAAAAAGAUUUUCACCACAAAGAGAUGCUUCACAUAUGCAUCCAGAAACACAAUUGCUUAUCUGAAUUAAAAAUUCCAGGGCAUUAAGGCUAAUCUAUUGGCAGCACUGGACCUGCACUUCAGAUAGAUGGAGUGUUUUUGCUGUAUUGUAGUCCUGCAUCCACUCAAAGGAAGGCAUUCAGAGAACUGCUCUUCUCCUUGCUCGCCCUGCUGCAGAGUGCAUGCCUGCCCUGCUUGGGGGACAAUAGAUGAGAGUGGAGUAAACUGUAUGCCAGCUGUAUGCUGAGUGCUAUUGUAUUAAGCAGAGCUCUGCAAAGCACAUACAGUCUCAUGAGGGGUGAGAGCUGAGCCUUGUCCUCACACACCUUCAAUUAAAUGGCUCUGUGCACGGAGUGCCAGCACCACACCAAAGCCCAGUGCUGCCAGGGCAGGUGGUGGCAGCAGGUUCCCAGGAGCCAGCUGCUAACACUAAGAAAACAGAUGCAAAGAAACCCAAAACAACCCUCUGAGCCCAAAUUUCUGAUUAAAUACCACUGAAGGUUCUCAUGUAAACCGUUCCACACCAAGGCAUGAGGGAGGUGUGCAGAGCACCAGAAGGCCCCACUUGGAGUGUGGCUGCAAUUACUCUGCCUUCAACCAGGAGAGGGAAGAAGUGUUCCCACAGGAAUGACUACGUCAGGACAAGGCAACCAAACACAGGAUGGCUUAGAAGAAGACAGAGCCUGCAGUGACAAUACCCAUCAUUCAUCCCAAUCCCCAACUCAUGGGUUCCUGCUUGUCUCUACAUUUCUGCUAUGUCUCCACUGAAGUUCAUCACUGGGAGACCUGAAGUGUUCAUCCACCAUAAGACUGUAGAAUCAUUUGAGAUGGAAGGGAUCUUGGAAGGGUCAUCUAGUCCAACUCCCCUACCACAAAUGAGGAUACCUACAGCUACCUCAGGUUGCCCAGAGCCUGGUCCAGUCUGACCUUGGUUGUGUCCAGGGACAGAGCAUCAGCCACCUCUCUGGGAACCUGUUCCACCAUGUACAAAGCUCCUGUCCAACCAUCAGAAGCCAAACCCAGGGCCAGAGCUACAUGCCUCAUUGCCAGCUGCAGAUGCAGCUCAGCAUUUUCAGUUCCAAAGGUUUUUCUGUUGUAAUAUAGGACAGAGUGAACAGUGAUUUAAGCUUGUUAACUGAUUCCAGGCUGCUUUAUCUACUCCAGCGUUGCAAUUUCAGGUGUCUAGUUAACCUCUGUACCAUGGCAGGGUUUGUAGCAGACAAAAUCUUCCUUUCCAAAGCUUCAGCAACUCCUGGCACGCGACAGGGGCUCAUUAUAGGACUGACCUGCACAGAGAGAAGACAGCUCCAAGCACAAAUUCCACCUAUUCAAUUAUCCCCACCCUGCAUCAAGCCAUGAAGCAGGAGGAGGGUGCAGGAGGAUGCACGGUGCUCUGGGUACCUCACCAGCUUUGGAGACAUCUGAAUGUGCUCAGCACCUCCUCAGGGUAGUGAAAUCCCAUCGCUGCCUCUGUGCUCUGCAUCACCAAAUUCCCAAUAGCAACUGGGUCAGCACCAUCUGUCCCAUAAAGGAGAAUGUAAACUGGGUUACAAGUGGGAAAAAAAAAUACAGUCAUCCUAUUAAAGAAAGUGAAGUUGCGAGCCUUCAAGUGAACAGAAUGCCUUAUGCUUAUGACAUUCAUUUAUUUUGGAAAUUAUAUGGGAAGAUUUCAGAGAAGAGAAAGUUAAGUUUCACCUGCUUUGAGAGUGCAUGAGAAGAGGAAUACAAUGUUUUAAUUAAACGUAUUU